UAAAUCAGUUAUGUUGAAGGGGCAUGGCACCUCUUAGUCAACACAGAGAGAAAAGGAGACCUCAGCCAUCAAACUGUUCCAGCUAUCUCCAGAAUCUCAUUUUAUGGCAACACUGCCUAGGGCUAGGUAGAUGUUUUAAUUUAUUUAUAGAGGGGCAGAGAUAUGUCAUUACUGGUCUAACAUUUAGUUGAAACGGUUACAUUUAAUGCCACAACAAUUUUGGCAUGGGGAAAAUGGAGUGGAUCAAAGCAGAGUGUUUGCAUGUGAUAGUCUGUAUGCUACGUGUGUGACAAAUCUGACUAGUGGUUUCUUACUUUCGUUCUGUUUCUGAAUUGAUUUAAUUAUGGUAUUCACUGCUUGUCGUGUUUUUCUUCCAAUCAGGCUUUCUGUCUCACUCAGCCCGUAAUGUAAGAUUACUUUCUCACCCCCAUCUCUUGUCGUCUCUCACGAAUGUAUUUAUUCUGUUACCUUUUGACUAGUGAUUGGUUUGGGAUUAACAGGGCGAGUUUGGGCGCGCAGUCUUGGUUAAUAAUUAGACUGGAACAGACUUACACACACACACACACAUCCUGUCAGAUGGAGGUCCCUCCAUCUGACAGGAUGUGAGACAGUGAAAGAGUGAUUGAGAGUCAGGAGAGCUUUUGUAUUCUCUUCCAACAAGGGGAAUUAGGUGCUCCCCGCAGCCUGGCAACCAUCACCUCUCUGUGGGCGUAACAACAACCCGCUGCCCCUAGAGUAACAGGGCCCUGUGGAGCUGCUGAGAGAUGCAGUGUCUCUACAGUGUCCACUGAUGUGAAACAGAGGCGUUUCUCUGUUUCGUUGAAAACAGCCCAGCAGUAAACUGCGCACACACACACACGGCCCCGCACAGCAGCUUUCAUCACCUAAUACAGAGCUUCCCUGUCGAUAUGAGCACAGAGGGUAUUGAGACAGAUGUUCUGGGGAGCAGUCACAGCCCGUCUGAACCAAACACUGGGGCUGGAACUGAACAGGACUACUGCCUCUACCUGCACAGCUGCUGUCUCUCGGUAGGCUGUUCGGGAAGGAGACAGCUGAGUACUUCCUCAACCCAUCUCCUGUCCACACUUCCUCACCCACCUGGUACACACUACUGAUGAAGAACAUGGGAGAUGAGGUGAGUGCUGAGGCCCUGUGGGACACCUUGAGAGAACACUCCACCAGACGACUCAGAGACCUUGAGGAGGAGGAGGAAUCUGAGUCUCUUGAGUUGGUGAAAGCCUCUGUGAACCAGGAUGUACAGAGAGAGCGGGGUCACCUACAGCACCUGGCAGGGGUCAGGUAUAUGUUCAACCUGGCCCAGCUCCACCAGGCUUAUUCUGCCCAUGUUCUCUCCCUCAACCAUCCUGCUCUGCUCCUAGAUGACCUGGAGGAGCUUGAGGGACCACAUAGUUACCUACCUCUCUCACAAAUAAACAGGUGAAGGGAAACCUAGCAUUAUUAAAUAAGCAUUAGCUUAUACUAUUGGUAAUAUAACUACUAUAACUACUUACAAAAGCCUUGCGAAUUGAAAAUCAUUUAAAUCAGAUGUAGAGACCAAUCUUGAGUCAGAGUAUCAUGUAUCUUUUUAUAUUUGUGUUAUUAAAUGUGCUUAUGCUGUGUUAUUCAUAUUGUAACAAAAAUCCAUUUGUGUCAGUGAAAUUUGAAUUUGUGUGUAAUGCUGGGACAAAUCUUCCACAAGAGGGCAGUCCCAGAUUAAGAGGAUGAAUGUUUAGUUGAAUUUAUGCUGGUAGUUUUCACUUUAAUAUGACAAGCUGUACUUUCAAAAUUGCAUUUCUAUAAUUUCCACUCAUAGUUUUCAACAAAUAGUAAUUAUUUUAUUUGCGAAACUGUGUAUUAUUUUGUGAGUUUGUAAUUAAAAGUGACAAGUGGCAACUGUAA